rnacentral:rRNA from 1 species
CGACGUGAGCAAUCUGCCUUUGGAUGGGGGAUAACAGCCGGAAACGACUGCUAAUACCGCAUGAUGCAGCGGGGUCGCAUGAUUUUGCUGCCAAAGAUUUAUCGUCCAAAGAUGAGCUCGCGUCUGAUUAGCCAGUUGGCGGGGUAACGGCCCACCAAAGCGACGAUCAGUAGCCGGACUGAGAGGUUGAACGGCCACAUUGGGACUGAGACACGGCCCAGACUCCUACGGGAGGCAGCAG